UACGGGGGGGGCAAGCGUUGUUCGGAAUUACUGGGCGUAAAGGGCUCGUAGGUGGCCAACUAAGUCAGACGUGAAAUCCCUCGGCUUAACCGGGGAACUGCGUCUGAUACUGGAUGGCUUGAGUUCGGGAGAGGGAUGCGGAAUUCCAGGUGUAGCGGUGAAAUGCGUAGAUAUCUGGAGGAACACUGGUGGCGAAGGCGGCAUCCUGGACCGACACUGACACUGAGGAGCGAAAGCCAGGGGAGCAAACGGG
rnacentral:rRNA from 1 species